GAGGAGAGAAAUUUUUUCUUCCACAGUCACAGUAUUUCUAGUAAACUGACCAAUGGCGUCAAGAUUUUUCUGAGUCGAUCAGUCGGUAGUCGCAUUUGAAAGAAAAUCGAGUAAAAAAGAACAUCAGUCAAAUUUUUAUUAUCUACAAGGAUUCUUUUUACAUCAUAAUUUGCUAUCAUUAUCGAAACAACAAUAGCAUCAUCAUGAGGAGUUUGAAUUUUUCGAACA
rnacentral:lncRNA from 1 species